GGACUAGUAGCUCAGCUGGUAGAGCAGGCGACUCUUAAUCGUCAGGUCGUAGGUUCGAACCCUACCUGGUCCACCA
rnacentral:tRNA from 1 species